rnacentral:misc_RNA from 1 species
UACGUAGGGGGCGAGCGUUGUCCGGAAUCAUUGGGCGUAAAGCGCGCGUAGGCGGCCCAGUAAGUCGGUUGUGAAAUCCCGGAGCUCAACUCCGGAACUGCAUCCGAUACUGCUGGGCUUGAGGAAGGUAGAGGAGAGUGGAAUUCCCGGUGUAGCGGUGGAAUGCGCAGAUAUCGGGAGGAACACCAGCGGCGAAGGCGGCUCUCUGGGCCUUACCUGACGCUGAGGCGCGAAAGCGUGGGGAGCGAACAGG